GACGAACGCUGGCGGCGUGCUUAACACAUGCAAGUCGAACGGAAAGGCCCUGCUUUUGUUGGUUGCUCGAGUGGCGAACGGGUGAGCAACACGUGAGUAACCUGCCCUUUACUUUGGGAUAACUUCAGGAAACUGGGGCUAAUACCGGAUAGGAGCUCCUGCUGCAUGGUGGGGGUUGGAAAGUUUCGGCGGUUGGGGAUUGACUCGCGGCUUAUCAGCUUGUUGGUGGGGUAGUGGCUUACCAAGGCAUUGACGGGUAGCCGGCCUGAGAGGGUGACCGGCCUCCCUUCUACUGAGAUACGGCUCCGCCUCCUACGGCCGGCAGCCGUGGGGCCUUUUCCACAUUGAGCGGACGCGUGUUGCGGCAUCUCCGCGUGCUUGCUGACGGCCUUCAGGUUGUGAACCGCUUUCGCCUGCGACGAAGGUUGCUUGCCGGUAAUUGGUGAAGAAGCAACGGCUAACUACGUG
rnacentral:rRNA from 1 species